rnacentral:rRNA from 1 species
AUACGGAGGGGGCUAGCGUUGUUCGGAUUUACUGGGCGUAAAGGGCGCGUAGGCGGACUUUUUAGUCAGGCGUGAAAGCCCCGGGCUCAACCCGGGAACUGCGUUUGAUACUGGAAGUCUAGAGAUCUGGAGAGGGUGGUGGAAUUCCCAGUGUAGAGGUGAAAUUCGUAGAUAUUGGGAAGAACACCGGUGGCGAAGGCGGCCACCUGGCCAGACACUGACGCUAAGGCGCGAAAGCGUGGGGAGCAAACAGGAUUAGAAACCCCGGUAGUCC